AAAACGCCGUCUUAGCAUGCAAGUCGAGCGGCAAGGAGGAGCAAUCCUCCCUAGAGCGGCGGACUGGUGAGUAACACGUGGGUGAUCUACCUAUAGGUUGGGGAUAGCCAUUAGAAAUAGUGGGUAAUACCGAAUGUGGUUGCGGGGUUUUGAUCCUGCAAAGAAAGGAGCUACGGCUCCGCCUGUAGAUGAGCCCGCGUCCCAUUAGCUAGUUGGGGGUGUAACGGACCACCAAGGCGAUGAUGGGUAGCCGGCCUGAGAGGGUGAACGGCCACACUGGGACUGAGAUACGGCCCAGACUCCUACGGGAGGCAGCAGCUAAGAAUAUUCCGCAAUGGACGAAAGUCUGACGGAGCGACGCCGCGUGGAUGAGGAAGGCCGAAAGGUUGUAAAGUCCUUUUGUCGAUGAAGAAUAAGCGGUGGAGGGAAUGCCAUCGUGAUGACGUUAGUCGGCGAAUAAGCCCCGGCUAAUUACGUGCCAGCAGCCGCGGUAACACGUAAGGGGCAAGCGUUGUUCGGAAUUAUUGGGCGUAAAGGGCGCGUAGGCGGACCUGCAAGCCCGGCGUGAAAUCCUGGAGCUUAACUCCGGAACUGCGCUGGGAACUGCGGGACUAGAGUCAUGGAGGGGGAGUUGGAAUUCCAGGUGUAGGGGUGAAAUCUGUAGAUAUCUGGAAGAACACCGGUGGCGAAGGCGAACUUCUAGCCAAUGACUGACGCUGAGGCGCGAAAGUGCGGGGAGCAAACAGGAUUAGAUACCCUGGUAGUCCGCACAGUAACGAUGCACACUAAGGUGUUGGGUCGAGCGACUCGGUGCCGAAGC
rnacentral:rRNA from 1 species